AUACUCAAGAUGGCGAACAAGUACUUCUCUAUCUCUUUGAGACGUUUCCACCCUUUUUAAGACGGACUUUUUGCUCUUCUUUCGUACAGAUGGAUGUGAUGAAGAGAGAACAAUGACAUGCUCAAAUAUCUGCAUCAAGAAAUGUACAAUCCACGUUAUAUGAGAAAGUAGGUCAAUAAAAGACUGGUUUGUCCUUAGAAUACAAGUCAGCUAUGUUGCAAGUAAAGAAGAGUCAUCGUUAGUCUCUUAUGCCGAGAGUCAUUUCAGAUUGUAUGAUGGAGUGGAAACGUUUCUCUUGUUCAUUGGUUAUCCA